UACGUAGGGAGCGAGCGUUGUCCGGAAUUAUUGGGCGUAAAGCGUCCGUAGGUGGCUUGUUGAGUCUGUGGUAAAAGCCCAGGGCUCAACUCUGGAUGGGCAAUGGAUACUGGGGAGCUUGAGUGUGGUAGGGGGAGCUGGAAUUCCCGGUGUAGCGGUGAAAUGCGCAGAUAUCAGGAGGAACACCGGUGGCGAAGGCGGUUCACUGGGCAGUCAUUGACGCUGAGGAGCGAAAGCAUGGGGAGCAAACAGG
rnacentral:rRNA from 1 species